GACAAUUGUAGGUGCAGUUAGUAUAAAAACUACAUCGACCCAUUUUUUGUACAAUGUAUAUGCGGGUAUGAGAAAAACUUUUCUCCGGUCAGAGUGCCAUCAAUAUUGGUGGCAACUUCAUGUGGCAACAAAGUGUCAACUAUCUCAUCACAUGUAAAAAAAUUUGAUUUGCAUGUUAUCUAAUUUAGAGGAUGCUCAAAGGAGGUAAUAUUCUAAAUUGUAAACUUAAUCUCCAUGUUUUACCAACUUAAAUAACUGAUAUAUAAACACAAGUUGGAUGAUUUUGCUUUGAUCAGACUGUUGUUUGAAAAUUUAAUUUUUAUGCUCUUUCUAAGUUCUUAUAUUUUGUUUCUUUUAAAAAUGCAAUUUCUUAGUUGUAGUAUCUAUCAUCUUUUAAAAUGAUUCCAUAAUUUCUCUUUACCAAACAACCAUUGAUCUCUCCCGUUAAAUCUUCGCCGGCUCAAAAUCCGUUCAAAAAUCUCACCGUUUCGCCAAUUCACUCCUACCUCAUACACAGAUCUAUACUAUUAUCUGAAUUGUUGGUCGACGAAAUCGUUUCAAACACACAUAGCCCUAAUUCAAAUCCACACCCGUCGAUUACUUCUCGAUCGUUUAAGCUUAUAUAUUUCGGUGUUUCUCUUGUUCUAUAGCCGAUCUGGAGGUGUCGAAGUGCCUACUAUAUCCCAUGAUCAAUCGUUUCAACCACCUAGGGUUUCUGAUUAAAUAGAAAUUAGAAAAGGGGAUCACAAAAUUGGCUCCAGUAAUUCAUGGUUCUCGUCGCGCGGUACGAACAACAAGAUUUGAUUAUAAAGAAAAGCGAUAUCUUGGAUUAUGAUGAUGGAAGAAGGCUAUUAUGUAUGGGCGGUGGGAAGGGGAGCUAUGGUUCCACCGGCGGCACAUGUGGCCGGUCCCAUCUUCCUCCAAGCCAUCUGUAGCUGCUCCUUCCAAUUCCUUCGUAUUGAUUGACUCUAACUCUUUCUCCAAAGUAUAUAUAAUUUUUUAUUCCGUUUAUAUACCCAUAUCCAUUACUUGUAUGUAUAUUUAUAUAUCAAUUUUGAUUAGUUUACCUGCUUCAGUGCUCUUGUAAGUUAGCUCUAUAUAUGAAUACUAUUUCAAUGAGAGAGAGAGAGAGAGAGAGAGAGAGAGAGAGAGCGUGAGAGAGAAAUGUGGGCCCAAAUUAGUAAUUUAUUUUCUUUUUCCUUUAANUAAAAGAGAGAGAGAGAGAGAGAGAGAGAGAGAGAGAGAGAGAGAGACCCUUUAAUAUUAAUUAAUUAUAAUUAUAAUAUUAUUUUUUAAAUAAGACAAAAACUUCAUAAAUGGUCCCUGUCUAGUGAAAAAUGUCCCUGACUUAACGGCUAGAUGGUAACAGAGUUAGACGGAAAGACCAAAUGUUAAAAGUUUUGAAACCACAUGGACCAUCUAUGAAGUUUUUUGAACUUAAGGACUAAACUUGAUAUUUUUGGAAACCACAGGGAUUAUUUUUAAAGUUUUGUCAAAAAAAAAAAUUACAGCAUGCAAUUAGUUGCGAUGAAGAGCUUGACAUUUGAUAGACGAUUUCAUGUGGUAUUGUAAACUUCUUUUUUAGUUAUAGGUUUGUAGGAUUUUUGUAUGCCAC
rnacentral:lncRNA from 1 species